UGGUGGGUAGUUUGACUGGGGCGGUCUCCUCCUAAAGAGUAACGGAGGAGCACGAAGGUUGGCUAAUCCUGGUCGGACAUCAGGAGGUUAGUGCAAUGGCAUAAGCCAGCUUGACUGCGAGCGUGACGGCGCGAGCAGGUGCGAAAGCAGGUCAUAGUGAUCCGGUGGUUCUGAAUGGAAGGGCCAUCGCUCAACGGAUAAAAGGUACUCCGGGGAUAACAGGCUGAUACCGCCCAAGAGUUCAUAUCGACGGCGGUGUUUGGCACCUCGAUGUCGGCUCAUCACAUCCUGGGGCUGAAGUAGGUCCCAAGGGUAUGGCUGUUCGCCAUUUAAAGUGGUACGCGAGCUGGGUUUAGAACGUCGUGAGACAGUUCGGUCCCUAUCUGCCGUGGGCGCUGGAGAACUGAGGGGGGCUGCUCCUAGUACGAGAGGACCGGAGUGGACGCAUCACUGGUGUUCGGGUUGUCAUGCCAAUGGCACUGCCCGGUAGCUAAAUGCGGAAGAGAUAAGUGCUGAAAGCAUCUAAGCACGAAACUUGCCCCGAGAUGAGUUCUCCCUGACCCUUUAAGGGUCCUGAAGGAACGUUGAAGACGACGACGUUGAUAGGCCGGGUGUGUAAGCGCAGCGAUGC
rnacentral:rRNA from 1 species